GGCUUAAUGAUUAAUAAUUUUAAGUCAAUCUGCCCAAUGAAGAAAAAUUAAAUGGCUGCAGUAUAAUUAACUGUACAAAGGUAGCAUAAUCAAUUGUUUUUUAAUUGAGAACUGGAAUGAAAGAAUUAAUGAGAUAUAUACUGUCUCAUAUAUAUUUAAUGAAAUUAAAUAUUUAGUAAAAAUGCUAAAAUAAAUUUAUGGGACGAUAAGACCCUAUAGAAUUUUAUAUUAAUUAAUUAAAUUUAAAUUAAAUUUUGAUUAUUAAUAUUUAAUUGGGAGGAUUAAUAAAUUUGAUAAACUUUAUUUUAAAAUUUAACUUUAAUUAAAGAAUAAUUUAAUGAUCUUGUAUUAUGAAUUAAAAGAAAAAAUUACCUUAGGGAUAACAGCGUAAUAUCUUUUUAAAGAUCAAAUUAAUAAAGAUGAUUGCGACCUCGAUGUUGAAUUAAGAUAAAUUUUAAAUGAAGAAGUUUAAUAAUUAAGUCUGUUCGACUUUUAAAAUCUU
rnacentral:rRNA from 1 species